CGGAGGGUGCAAGCGUUAUCCGGAUUUACUGGGUUUAAAGGGUGUGUAGGCGGACUUUUAAGUCAGGGGUGAAAUCCCGAGGCUCAACCUCGGAACUGCCUUUGAUACUAUUGGUCUUGAAUGUUGUUGAGGUGGGCGGAACGGGUCAUGUAGCGGUGAAAUGCAUAGAUAUGACCCGGAACACCGAUUGCGAAGGCAGCCCGCUAAGCAACUAUUGACGCUGAGGCACGAAAGCGUGGGGAUCAAACAGGGUUAGAUACCCUGGUAGUCCACGCCCUAAACGAUGAUUACUCGACGUUGGCGAUACACUGAUCAGCGUCCAAGCGAAAGCAUUAAGUAAUCCACCUGGGAAGUACGUUCGCAAGAAUG
rnacentral:rRNA from 1 species